rnacentral:lncRNA from 1 species
CACCUGCUUCCCAGAGAUGCCUUCCACCUGUUCCAAGUCCUCCACCUAAGGGGCCGUGGAGCUCCCUCCAGCCCACGAUGAGCUGGGCUUUCUUCUGGCCAAUGCGCUGCAGGCUGCGCAGUCCCUGGUUGCCUGUGCGACGGUUGUCCUCUGAACCAGCCAAAUCAAUAAGGUAGAGUCCAAGAGCACUGCGUGACUACGGGAAGAGCGCUGGUUAAGCCGGGUGGCUCCUACAGCUCGAUUUCUACUGGCUGGAAGGAAGUGCUGCUCGAAGUCAGAGAAGCUGGUGAUGGGCUUCUGUGUGAGGCCUGGGAUCAGGAUGUUCCCUCGGCAGUCUUCGCGGAUCACGAGGUCUCCUGAUGCAGGACAUAGGCAAGUACACUGGCAUUCUGCCCUUCCAGCAAGUGCCUUAGGAUGGGCUGUACUGAACCUACAUAGACUUCCUGCUGAGUGCUCUUCUCGCCAUAGAAGGCAUCAAACCUG